UUUCGUGGAGGUCCGAACCCACGAGCGUUGAAAAGCUCGGGGAUGACUUGUGGGUAGCGGUGAAAUUCCAAUCGAGCCCGGAGAUAGCUGGUUCUCCCCGAAAUAGCUUUAGGGCUAGCCUCAAGGUGAGAGAUACGGAGGUAGAGCACUGAAUGUCCUAGGGGGUAUUGCACCUACCGAAGACUAUCAAACUCCGAAUGCCGUCAUCUUAUACUUGGGAGUCAGACUGUGGGUGAUAAGAUUCAUAGUCGAAAGGGCAACAGCCCAGAUCGUCAGCUAAGGUCCCUAAAUGUAAGUUAAGUGGUAAAGGAUGUGGGAUUGCACAGACAACCAGGAUGUUGGCUUAGAAGCAGCCACUCAUUCAAAGAGUGCGUAAUAGCUCACUGGUCGAGUGAUCCUGCGCCGAAGAUUUCCGGGGCUAAAACUUACUACCGAAGCUACGGCAUCAGUAAUGAUGGGUAGGGGAGCUUCCCAUACGGGUUGAAGCAUGACCGUAAGGACAUGUGGACAGUAUGGGAGUGAGAAUGUUGGCAUGAGUAGCGAGAUGUGGGUGAGAAUCCCACAGGCCGUAAACCCAAGGUUUCCAGGGGAAGGUUCGUCCGCCCUGGGUUAGUCGGGACCUAAGCUGAGGCCGAAAGGCGUAGGUGAUGGACAACAGGUUGAUAUUCCUGUACUACCGAUAACCGUUUGAGAGAAGGGAUGACACAGUAGGAUAAGCUAAGCACACUGUUGGUUAUGUGUGCCCAAGCAUUGAGGCAGUCAAAGUAGGCAAAUCCGCUUUGAUAAUGCUGGGAUGUGAUGGGGAGCGAAAUUUAGUAGCGAAGUAGCUGAUUUCACACUGUCAAGAAAAGUCUCUAUCGAGGUUAAAGGUACCCGUACCGCAAACCGACACAGGUGGGUGAGGAGAGUAUCCUAAGGCCAGCGAGAGAACUGUUGUUAAGGAACUCGGCAAAAUGACCCCGUAACUUAGGGAUAAGGGGUGCCACCAUCAGGUGGCCGCAGAGAAUAGGCCCAAGCGACUGUUUACCAAAAACAUAGGUUUCUGCUAAGUCGCAAGACGAUGUAUAGGAGCUGACGCCUGCCCGGUGCUGGAAGGUUAAGGGGAUCUGUUAGAGCAAUCGAAGCAGUGAACUUAAGCCCCAGUAAACGGCGGCCGUAACUAUAACGGUCCUAAGGUAGCGAAAUUCCUUGUCGGGUAAGUUCCGACCCGCACGAAAGGCGUAACGAUUUGGGCACUGUCUCAACAACAGACUCGGUGAAAUUGUAAUUCCGGUGAAGAUGCCGGAUACCUGCGACAGGACGGAAAGACCCCAUGGAGCUUUACUGUAGCUUGACAUUGGGUCUUGGUACUACAUGUACAGGAUAGGUGGGAGGCUUUGAAACCAGGACGCCAGUUUUGGCGGAGCCAUCCUUGGGAUACCACCCUUGUAGUACUGGGACUCUAACCAUAGGCCAUGAAUCUGGUCUUGGGACACUGUCAGGUGGGCAGUUUGACUGGGGCGGUCGCCUCCCAAAAGGUAACGGAGGCGCUCAAAGGUUCUCUCAGUACGGUCGGAAAUCGUACGUAGAGUGUAAAGGCAAAAGAGAGCUUGAUUGCAAGACAUACAGGUCGAGCAAGGAUGAAAAUCGGACUUAGUGAUCCGGUGGUUCUGCGUGGAAGGGCCAUCGCUCAACGGAUAAAAGCUACCCUGGGGAUAACAGGCUUAUCUCCCCCAAGAGUCCACAUCGACGGGGAGGUUUGGCACCUCGAUGUCGGCUCAUCACAUCCUGGGGCUGUAGUAGGUCCCAAGGGUUGGGCUGUUCGCCCAUUAAAGUGGUACGCGAGCUGGGUUCAGAACGUCGUGAGACAGUUCGGUCCCUAUCCGUCGCAGGCGUAGGAAAUUUGAGAAGACCUGUCCUUAGUACGAGAGGACCGGGAUGGACGUACCUCUGGUGUACCAGUUGUCCUGCCAAGGGCAUGGCUGGGUAGCUAUGUACGGAAUGGAUAAGCGCUGAAAGCAUCUAAGCGCGAAGCCAACUUCAAGAUAAGAUUUCCCACCGCAAGGGUAAGACCCCAGAAAGACUAUCUGGUUGAUAGGUCGAAGGUGUAAGUGCAGCAAUGUAUUUAGCUUAUCGAUACUAAUAGGUCGAGGACUUGACCAA
rnacentral:rRNA from 1 species